rnacentral:rRNA from 1 species
AGGACGAACGCUGGCGGCGUGCUUAACACAUGCAAGUCGAGCGGAAAGGCCUUUCGGGGUACUCGAGCGGCGAACGGGUGAGUAACACGUGAGUAAUCUGCCCAUCGCUUCAGGAUAGCCAUCGGAAACGGUGAUUAAUACUGGAUAUGACAUUCCUUCGCAUGUUGGGGUGUGGAAAGUUUUUUCGGCGGUGGAUGUGCUCGCGGCCUAUCAGCUUGUUGGUGGGGUAAUGGCCUACCAAGGCUUUGACGGGUAGCCGGCCUGAGAGGGUGACCGGCCACACGUGGGACUGAGACACGGCCCAGACUCCGUACGGGAGCAGCAGUGGGGAAUA